UUACUAAAGAAGCUUCUAAUUACGCUAUUGAGCAUAACUCCUAAUCUAGACCUCAAACUGAUGUCAAAUUUUAUGGACAAGUUUAUAAUUCAGUAUAGUGAAGGUUUCUAUCCUCUCACAUUUUCAAAAAUAUCGUUUUAAGGUCAAAAGGGCAUAACGGUCAACAAUUCGGCAUAUAACGGAAACUUGCAAAUGAAUAGGAUAACUAAGGAUUCAGGUUGUAUAACCUCAGAGGGUUACACUAACCUAUAACAUGAUCCUAAAGGAAUCCUAAGGCAUAUCUAAAUAAGUCUAAUUCGGGUCAGAACUGAAAGUCAAAGCAAAAGUCAACUUUCGCGACUUUCGGCUCCGAACCGGGCCUAUACUUAGAAUUGUCGGGUUGA
rnacentral:lncRNA from 1 species